UACGUAGGGUGCAAGCGUUGUCCGGAAUUAUUGGGCGUAAAGAGCUCGUAGGCGGUUUGUCGCGUCUGCCGUGAAAGUCCGGGGCUCAACUCCGGAUCUGCGGUGGGUACGGGCAGACUAGAGGUAUGCAGGGGAGAACGGAAUUCCUGGUGUAGCGGUGAAAUGCGCAGAUAUCAGGAGGAACACCGGUGGCGAAGGCGGGUCUCUGGGCCGAUACUGACGCUGAGGAGCGAAAGCGUGGGGAGCGAACAGG
rnacentral:rRNA from 1 species